rnacentral:sRNA from 1 species
ACCUAUUAAUAUCAAAGGUUGUGAAUGUAGUGAGAAUAUUGUAGACACUCUCUCAUCUGGGUAUAUUUUGUGAGUGGACUCUGGUUAGUUUUACUGAUUGGUGCUGUUGACUUAAUCUCACCUGCUGGAUGGCAGAGGAGUUAUGGCAGUUUUAAAGUGGAAGAUCUCAGGAUGGCUGGAAAGAGCCCUAUCAGCUGAGAGCAGUCUUCACCCUUCACCCUGAUGCCAGCAGUCUUACCAGGACUCUGACCCUUUUUUCUUGGAAAAUCCCACGAGCCAUGAAGAGAUUGCAAUGAUCUCUCAUAAUGAACUCUUAUUAUUUUAUGACUUGUCUUUUGCUUCAACCGCUUUCAAGAUUGAUCUUACAAUUUGGCAGAUUUUGUAAAUACUGUGGCCUUUUGUGUACCCAUUAAAUUUAUUUGCACUGAUGGUUACUUUUAUUACAAAAAAAGAUUGGUUACAGUUUAAUUUCCUUGUUCAGUGGAGGCAAUGUUCACUGCAAUGUGUGAAUGCCAGGCCUUGCAUCCAGAUCCUGAGGAUGAGGAUUCAGAUGACUACGAUGGAGAAGAAUAUGAUGUGGAAGCACAUGAACAAGGACAGGGGGACAUCCCUACAUUUUA